rnacentral:rRNA from 1 species
UGGGGAAUAUUGGACAAUGGGCGAAAGCCUGAUCCAGCCAUGCCGCGUGUGUGAAGAAGGUCUUCGGAUUGUAAAGCACUUUAAGUUGGGAGGAAGGGCAGUAAGCGAAUACCUUGCUGUUUUGACGUUACCGACAGAAUAAGCACCGGCUAACUCUGUGCCAGCAGCCGCGGUAAUACAGAGGGUGCAAGCGUUAAUCGGAAUUACUGGGCGUAAAGCGCGCGUAGGUGGUUCGUUAAGUUGAAUGUGAAAGCCCCGGGCUCAACCUGGGAACUGCAUCCAAAACUGGCGAGCUAGAGUAGGGCAGAGGGUGGUGGAAUUUCCUGUGUAGCGGAGAAAUGCGUAGAUAUAGGAAGGAACACCAGUGGAGAAGGCGACCACCUGGGCUCAUACUGACACUGAGGUGCGAAAGCGUGGGGAGCAAACAGG